rnacentral:rRNA from 1 species
UACGGGGGGGGCAAGCGUUGUUCGGAAUUACUGGGCGUAAAGGGCUCGUAGGUGGCCAACUAAGUCGGACGUGAAAUCCCUCGGCUUAACCGGGGAACUGCGUCCGAUACUGGUUGGCUUGAGUUUGGGAGAGGGAUGCGGAAUUCCAGGUGUAGCGGUGAAAUGCGUAGAUAUCUGGAGGAACACCGGUGGCGAAGGCGGCAUCCUGGACCACAACUGACGCUGAUGCACGAAAGCUAGGGGAGCAAACAGG